ensembl:snRNA U6 U6 spliceosomal RNA
GUACUCCCUUUGGCAGCACACAUACUAAAAUUGGAACAAUACAGAGAAGGUUAGCAUGGCCUCUGCACAAAGAUGACAUGCAAAUUCAUGAAGUGUUCCAUAUUUUA